rnacentral:tRNA from 2 species
UAAUAAGUUGGCAGAAUAGUGCCACCGAUUUAGGAUCGGUUCAUGGAUAUUUAUCCACUUAUU